ACGGUCGUAGUACCGUAACGACCGGUCGGGCGACCCUUUACGGUAGGCGAGCCGUCGAAGGUAGGGUUGAUGAUUGGGGUG
rnacentral:rRNA from 1 species